rnacentral:tRNA from 1 species
GGCUUCAAGGUUUCGAAUUGCAAAUUCGAAUAAGAGUCCAUAAAAAGCUCUGAAGUCU